rnacentral:lncRNA from 1 species
CUGAACUUUCUGUCAACGGCGACCAGCACGCCGUUGGCCGCCUUGGUGCGGGUGACAGACAGCUCGGGUACGCGGCUGGACGUCCACUUGGCACCAUCGACGAGGUCGGCGGGAAGGUAGACUGGUUCACCGUCCAAGGUGAUGUCUAGGUGCUCCACGGCGUCGUCCCAGGUGCCGGUCUUCCUGGCGCCGAGGUAGAGGCGGUGGCCGUCGAAGAGGACGGCGAUGGCCUGGAUCCAGGUGAAGUCCCGGGACAUGCCGCUGUGGCCGCUCUUGCCGAUGAAAUGCGCGUUGAUGUGAAGGUCACGGUCGGAGACGACGCAGAAGUCGGCAUCGCUGCGUCCGUGGAAGUAGAAGGCGUUGCCGUCACCACCAAUGAACCGCGGGUCGCCGCACGCCCCUGGGGUGUUGCACACUGCACCAGGGCACGAACCAUAACCAUUAACCAACAAAAUCAACGUUACUACAAUGUAGAGUAAGUACCUCCAUUGUUAAGGCAUCGAUCGAGUGCUUACCGCAGACGGGUUUGCAUGUGUUGCAGUCUGGGUAGCAGGACUGGGGGCAGUUGGCGGGGCAGUCCAUGUUCCGGUUGAAGCAGUAGGGGUUCUCCUUGCGGCUCUGAGUGCACUUGACCGUCGUUGGCUUCGGCUUCGGCUUCGGGCCCUGGGCUUUGGGUGGCCGUGCCGAGGAUUGCGCGGUGGCGGCCUCCGCGGCGGCGAGAAGGACGACAGCCGCUAAAGCCAGCACGACUCCCACACGCCUCGCCAUUGCGAUCGCCCUCACGCUCUCAGUAGUUACUAUGGUAUUUUCUUUUGUUGCUAAUGACUGGUGGAGAAGGAUGGGUGCGUUUGUAUGCAUGGCUCCAAGGCAAUUUAUAGGCGAUGGAUCGAGUUAGCUUGCUUCCUGCAUGGAGAUUGUCAACGCCGCGAGGGCCGGUAUGCCUUCACCGGCCGGAAACAUGCAUGCCGCUGGCUUGAAGCGAAAAACGUACUUUGCGUGCAUAAAUCCAUGCGUAGAAUCGUAGAUGGAGCUUUAUGCUACCUGCUACGUGCUAGCUACGUAGCUCCGGGCUAUAUACAUGCAUGUAAGUAUACAUAUGGAGUACUAGUUACCGUCCCUGGUUUUCAGGGCAAGAUUCCCAGGAUGCAGCUUAAUCUUGAAGAAAAAUGGCUAAUGCAUGUGCUUAACAGCCUGCUAAAGGAAGCGAUCCGAGAGAGUUUCCCCGUCGUCCUGGAUUACAAUAUAUAUCUCGUACGUACCCGUUUACUCUCGUCUUGUCCUAUUCAGUUUGUGGCAUCAUCCUCGGAUCAAGCAGUGGAGAGCUGGCAAAUUGUCAAAGCAUGGGACACCGUAGGCUAAAAUACUUCACUUUAAGCUAGUAUCAAGAAUAACAAGUAUCAAAUGCUUAGGUAAACUUAAGGAGAACUAUAUUAUAUGCAUUAAUGUGAAGAAAAAACUUCACAAUUCUAAAAUUUAAACAAGUCCAACUAGAAAAUGAGCACGAUCAGUAUUUAACUGCACAAUUUCUUGAUCCUCAAAAAACAAACUGCUUUAUUUCUCUGUAAAUUGUAAAAAAUGAAUGAGACCAACCCAGAUUAGACUAGUCUGCUGACAUUUUUUUAUAGAAGAAAACUCCAUGAGCAUCUAGUGUUAGAGCUGAGGCUCGAACACCGACGGACUGGCUGCAAACUCUAGCGUCAAGCCAAUUGAGCUAUGCUUAAAUAAUAGAGAAUAGCUCAUGUAGUUUUCGCAUGCCACCGAUGGUCCUCGGCGCCGUUCGUCUAAUGUUGCUUGCUGCCUUGUGAUUCCAACCUUACAAAUCUCCAGUAACUCCGUGGAUCGUGACGCUCCAUCUUCAAGCUAGGGAAUGAAGACGUGCAGCAUGCCGCACACAAUUGCAAGUCGCUGUCUGGCAUAUACUACCAUGCUCAAGAAUGUUACGAGUGAUCGAUCCAUUUCCUUUAGGUUUCCUUUUAUGCAUUCACGAGCAUGUGACUAAUUAUGGCCCAACAAUUGAAAUAACUAAAUGGCCCUAUGGCUAUUGCUACUGGUUGUUAGGAAUAAGCCCAAAACGCUAGGAAACGCGGUAGCUGGCCCAGUUAAAGGACGACAAUUAGUUAGCGAGCGUUUCUUCGGAGACUUUCAGCGAGCACUGCGUCGUCAUUUGGAGUGUUCUCACCCGUCAUCAUGUGUCGCGUUUUUUUGCACGAGUUUUUGGCUUUUUAGUUUCUCCACCUCAAAGACCAACGACUCCGACCUGUAAUUCUGUGCAGNUGUUUGGGUUUUUCACCGGUCUUUCUUAGUUUUUUGACAAAAAAAAUAAAAAUUGCAUCAAAAAACAUUUUUUCUGUUUUUUUGCGAGUUGCCUCUCGGAAAUGAAAAAACGUGUUUUCUUACGAGAGGCACGACUCGGAAAGGAAAAAAUGCUUUUUUUCCAUUAGAGACACGGUUUUGCCUGCGCGAGAGGCAUGCUCGUGCCUCUCGGAAAGAAAAAAAACCGUAUUUUUUAGCAAGAGGCACGGUUUUGCUUCCGCGAGAGGCACGGUUUUGCCUUCGUGAGAGGCACGGUUGUGCCUCUCGGACAGGAAAAAACCCGCAAAAAAACGUGUUUUCUAUAUUUUUCCUAUCACGAGAGGCACGGUUUUUUGGUCCUUUUUUUCAUAAUAAAACAGUUCAUCAAAAUCUAUCAACAUGGGAUCUAGUUUUGAAGCUCUCGACGCGAGAAACCCAACACUGAAAACGGUUCGAUAUUUAGAUACACAGUUUAGGAGAUAGAACUUUCUAAAAAUACGGAUCUAUGGAAAAAGGGAAAACUCCAGGGUUGCGACAAAUGGCAUGCAUGCAGUGUGCCACUUGUCUCAACCUGGGAGAUGGGAGUGAUCUUUGAAAAGGCGUACUCCUCAAUUAGUGAUUUCGGUACAGAUCGUAUUUUCGAUAGUUCCAGCUAAAAAUUGUGAGAGGGGAGGAAAGUGUUGAUGUUAACAAUCAUACGAUUCUGGGUCUUAUUCCAAAGGUAGCAAGCCCCUCAAAUAUUCCACAAUUCUGCCCAAUCAGUUUAUGCGACGUUGUUUAUAAGAUUGCGUCAAAAGUGGGUGUAACCCAUCUCAAGCUCAGUCAUCCAGAGAUUAUCUCUCAUGAACAGUCUGCUUUUGUUCCUCGUAGACUAAUUAUAGAUAAUAGCAUCUCCGUAUAUGAGCGUUUGCGCUUCAUGAAAAGGAACAUGGCAAAGUCCAACUGCUAUGCAACACUCAAAUUCGACAUGAUGAAAACUUAUGACAGAGUAGAAUGGCAGUAUCUGGAGUCGAUCAUGUUGAAUCUUGGCUUUGAACAUCAUUGGGUCAAUGUCGUAAUGGGGAUGGUGAGGUCCAUCUCAUUUUUAGUUACUUUUAAUGGUAAAAAGCUUGAUGAGUUCAUACCAUCCAAGGGUAUUCGAUAGGGAGAUCCUAUUUCACCCUACUUGUUCCUGAUAGCAGCGCAAAGCCUUUCGUGUCUAUUGAAAUCCAACUAGUCGUCUCACUUGAACAUGAUAAAGGUGUAUUCAUCGGCUCUGCCGGUUAACCAUCUCAUGUUAGUAGAUGAUAGCAUGUUGUUCUUCAAGGCAAGUUCUCGGGGUGCUAACGAAGUGUCAAACCUAUUGAAUCACUAUCGCCAAGCUUCGGGACAACAAGUGAACACAGAAAAAUCUUCCAUCCUUUUUAGUAAGGGCUGCCCAAAUGUUACUCAAGAGGCAAUUAAACUCUCUCUUCAAGUUCCCAAUGAAUCACCUAAUGAGAAUUACCUAGGCAUGCCAAACGACGUUGGGCAUACAAAGAAUGCUUUCAAGUUUCUGAAGGAUAGAGUUUGGAACAAAAUAAAAGUUUGGAUUGAGAAACUUUUGUCUCCUAGGGAAAAGAGGUACUCAUCAAAUCGGUAGCUCAGGAAAUACGAGUCUAUUCGAUGGCAUGCUUCUGACUACCUCAAGAACUCUGUGAGCAUAUCAAUUCUCUUAUCUGCGGCUUCUGUUGAGGGAGUAAAGAAGGGGUUUGUGACCUAGAGCUUUUUAAUCUGGCUUUGUUGGCUAAGCAAGCAUGGAAACUACUUGAGGACCCAUCGUCUCUUAGCGCACAACUACUGAAGGUGAUAUAUUUUCCUAAGUCCGAUAUUCCUGAAGUUGAGUUGGGAUCUAACCCUUCGAAGUGUGGCAGGCAAUACUAGAUUGUAGAGAUGUUCUUAAGCAGGGACUGAUACGGUGCAUAGGAGAUGGUCAUACUACAAGCAUUUGGGAUAAAAAUUGGGUUCCAUGGGAGCCAUUGUUGCGGCCCCUAAACUCGGCUGAAGCUUCAUGGAACACCAACUUGGUAAGCCAAGUUUUUCUACCGAUAGAUGCCGAGGCGAUCCUCAGUAUACCAUUAUGCACAAAAGUGGCCUCUGAUUUUUGGGCUUGGCACUUUGAGAGAAAGGGCAUGUUUUCUGUGAGAUCGGCCUACAUGAUGCUUGUUGAUACUAAAAAUUGGAGGGAAAACUAGCUUGAUGGGGUUGCUGGUUGUUCGAUAAUACGAAGACAGUUAGGGUGUGGUCUAGGUUGUGGAAAAUUUAUGUCCCGUCCAAGCUGAAAGUUUUCCUAUGGCAACUUGCUCAGCAGCAGGGUUGGGCCUAUAAUGGUGCAAAAUGUGUUGCAUGCACAGUGCCCACAAUUUUGAAGGACCCCACAUUUUUAUAUAGGCCAAAUAGUAUUUUUCAAAAAAAAUCUAGCCGCUGGAGCUGGGCCUGAGUCGAUGAGGAGCUGGAGGUAGGCCUCGAGGCCAUCGAGCGCAGCAGUGCUAGUGCCGAUCAAUCUUUCGAUCGAUAAUAUGACAAUGCAAUCCUCAAAAACAAAAGAUAAUACGGAAAUGCUACCGUCGGUAAAAAAAUAUAAUCGCUAUAGAAGUCAAUUGGGAUCGUCUCGUCUAUCGAUCUGAAGACUAGCUGCGCUGGAUUCUCUAUAGGAAAAAUGAUCAUCUCGUCGCCUUCGCCUCAUCACAUCGAUCAGACCCAUGCCGCUACCGCUAUUCCCUUCCUAGCUUCCUCUUCCAAAUUUCAAACUCACCGUCUCGUCGAAUCGAUUCGUGACCAACCCCAACCACCAGGUGUUUGCUGAGUCCUCUAUUCCAAUUGCAUCGUUGUGUCUAAGUUGGGUCUAAUUCCUCACUUGGGUCUAAGUUGGCACGCAGGCAACCAACCACCUACACCCCGGUUGCAUCGCUGUGUCAAAAUCAUGCCUUUUCUUCAGAGUUGAGACCUGAAAAGUUGUAUGUGUAUUAGUAUAUACAACCAGAGUACUACAAGAGUAGGUACUUAGGUAGUGGAUGAAGAUGAAAUUGGGUUUUGACUUUGUGAAUGAUUAGCCAAGAAUGCAGAACCUUGGUCAUUGCAGUUGCAUCACAUGUUCUUUCUAGUGUUCGCCUAGUAGAGAGAGUAUCAAUUUCUUCCAGGGGCCUGUUAUUGUGAUAGAGUAAUAUAUAUUCUUUCUUCCAAGGGCCACAAUCGUUCAUAUUGGGUUUGUGGAAAUAGAGAUGGAUGUGUAACUGAAAAAGCAUCUUCAAUUAAGCCUGACCGGAGACUGUCUAAAAUCAUUGCAGAAAUUCGAAUUUCUCUUUGGAUGCACCUUGAAAAUGAAUGUAUGAAUGAUUUAGGGGAUGUAUGAAUGUUGUUGUUACUUCCUAGAUGAUUUGCUACUGUCAGUGAGAUCAGUCAUUCUAUUUGCUUGCAUCUGUAGUGUACUGUACUCCAUAUGGAGAUUUGCAAGUUUGAAGCUGUGGAUGGUUCAGUCCUUGUCAUUCAAUUAUUUGCAUUAUCCUGGCUCCCGGAUUACUUGUAAGUAAUUAACUGGACAUCUUGGAGUACUUAAUUACAAUAACUUGACUUGUUGUUAACUGUUGUACUCCUAAAUCCAAGCAAGUUGGAUUAACACCCUCUUCAGUAAAAUUAAAGAAUCUUUUAUGUGCUAUAUUAAAUGAUUAACUGAAACCUUUUUCUAUCAAUAUAACUAUAUUUUUUGGUGAUGUUAUCAUUUCAUCAAGUUUGCAGUUUACUCAUCAUUUUAUCAUGUGUGCUUUAUAAAGAUUUGAGUACUCGUUAUAGGUACGUGAGCCCUAGCUAAAUCAGCCCCUUCAUUUAUAGGUACCCGAACCCUAAAGCAGCGUGUUGACGAACUUCUUGAAGGACACGUGAAGUAUUGUUUGGUGGCUUUUAAGAUGAGACCAUACAUUUUUAAAUCUUUAGCAUCAUAUCUUAGAAGGAAAGAAUUCAUAAACACACACAAGACUCAAGGUCGAGGAGAAGUUAGCAUUCUUCCUGUACAUGUUGUCACAUAAUCCAUCAUAUGAAGAUAUGCAACUGGAAUUCAAGCAUAGUUGAUCCACGUUUCCUGAGUACAUCAACGCGUUCUUUGAUAUCAUCCCUGCCCUAUGUACUCGCUUUGCGGAGCCUCCAUGGAUUGAAAAACCACAUCCAAUAAUUGCUAACGAUGAGCGAUUCUAUCCAUACUUCAAGGUUGUUAUCUUGACACUUCAAAAAUUCCUUACCUUUCUCCAUUAAAAUUUCAGAAGUUAAUUAGCAAAUUUGAAUUUUUACAGAACUCUAUAGGUGCUAUCGAUGGAUCACAUGUUCCUAUUACCAUUGCACCUGAGAGUGUUGCCCCAUUUCGGAAUAGAAAGGGCACCCUGAGCCAAAACAUAAUGAUUGCUUGCAACUUUGACUUGAAGAUCACAUUUAUAUCAUGUGGCUGGGAGGGGUCUGCAACAGAUGCUAGGGUUCUUCGAUCUGUAAUGAACUCUGGGUUUAAAGUACUCGAUGGGAAGUUAUACCUCGUCGAUGGUGGUUACGCAAACAGAUGUCACGAUGUUACAUUCAAUUAGGAACCAAGCGAGUAUUCCAACAGCUACCGCAAUCUUUCAUUACAUCAUCAAAUUGCAUGCUGGUGAUGAGGAAUGGCUUGACAACCAGCAGAUAACAUACCAAUGGCUAAUUUUGUCAAUGUACCCAAUGACAAUGAUAACUACCAAGGGAACAACAUUCAAGGCAAUGCUUUGCGAGAUGAAAUUGCAAUGAAAAUGUGGAAUGAUUUCCCACAUAACUAACUCUUUGUAAGUUUGUGGAUGUAAUUGACAAUUUCUAAUUCAACUAAUUAAUUGUCUUCAAUUUGUGUGUUAAUUUGUUUUGUCCAAAUAGACAUGUAUGCGAAAGGGUCUCCCAAAUUCAACUUGGCACAAGUUGCUACCUUAUUAAGAAUGAAAGGUCUUCUUGGUGCUAAAAUGGAUUAACCAAAGUUUACCAAAUACAGUUCUCCAAAAGGUAUUCUUGUUUGUCACUACAAUUUCUACACGUCACAAGUAUUUUUAUGCACAUAGCCAUUUGAUCUGACUCUGAAUGUUCCAAACAUUAUUCUUAGCUUUGUGCUUUAAUUGGCUUGCGUAGUUGUGAAACAAAGAGCACAAUGGAGUUUAGGACUUGAAAAAAGGUUUGGUGGAGAUACUUAUGGAGCACCAUACUCCUUACCACCGAGGGCAAAAUGGAUUGAGCAAGGAAACUUGGAACUUGAUGGUGACAAAAUUCCAUGUGAAACACAAACAUGUAAAGUUCUCGAAGCCUCAAAUUCAAGAUAAGGAGAAGGAUCACAAAAGAGAAUGCAUGAUGUUAAAAUAAGCUCGAAAGUAAAGUGGUGUUGGCUGGGAUGGCAAAAGAUGUAUGAUAGAAGCUGACACCGACCUUUGGGAUAAUCUGGUGAUUGUAAGUUCUUUAAUUCCACCCUUCGAUAUGGUUACAAUUUUAUACAAUUCUAAUAUUCAUCUAUUACUCUGGUUCUAAUUACAUAAUUUCUCUAACACCAAGUGCAUGGAUGUGUUGAAGACAAUGGUGGCUAUCACCCGCAUCAAGAAGAUCAAAGCAUUCAACGUCUUCAAGGAUGCUGCAAACCGUGAGAUUUUCAUAAAUGCCGCUGAUAAUAAUAACGAGACUGAUGUUAUGUGGCUUCAGUGCGAGAUGUCCCCAUGAUGUAUGUUCAAGUUUUGAACUCUCAAGUGUUGACUAUAAUGCUUGUUUUAUUUCUAGAUGACUUUCUGUUAUAUGUAAUAUGUGUUAGAACAUACGAAACUAUUUAGUGAUCCCCUGCAGAAAGUUAUCAACUAUCUAUACAUUUAUAGAAGAAGUGAUCUAUGUUUCCCUCGAAAUAACAAAAGCAACAUCUAGUGUCUUUGGCUUUCAAAUUCCCCCUCUUAAAAUUGUCUACAGUCAAGAUACUUAUUUUGAGAAAAACCAAAUCAACACCAAGUUUUAGAGGAAUACGAUCUAGCCUACCACAUCUUGUGAGGACACAACACCUGCUGAGGUUUCAAUUCUGAAACGAUUAUUUUGCUUGCUUUGAACAUAAAUGGUGUCCACUGAUUGUGGUUGUGCAAAUCAUAUAUACCAUUGUUGAGUGCAAAAAUGGAUUCGCAAAAGAUUACCAAAAGGAUGAUCAUGACAUCAAAAGAGCAACUCAUCUCCAAUACAACAUCAUUUCUCAUCAUUUCUUGGCCUCCAAUAAUACUCAGCCUUGGACGUAAACAUCAACAAAGGGAAGGUUGUUGUGUGGCUAUAUUGCAUUAUUAUUGUUGCAAAUGUUUGUUGUGAAUGUGAUGUAGAAUUAUGUUGUUGAUGUGAUGGUCUGCAAAAUUAAGCCUUGCAAAAUUAUGAUGUUGCUGAUUCAAAGAUCACAUUUUUAUUUUGAUUCUCCAAUAAUCUUUGUCCCAUAAUUAUGUUAUGACUAUGAUUAAGUGUUGUUAUGAUAAGAUAUUGAUUCCAAGACAUCGAGAAUUAUGUUGUUGUUGUAAUGAUCUACAAAUAUCACAUUUUUAUUUUGAUUAUCCAAUAGUACAAAGGCAAUCCCCACGUGUGAAACAAUAUUUAUAUGUGCAAGGGAAUAUAGGGGAUUUGGAUGGAAAGGGAAUGUGGGGGAUUUUGAUGGAAGGGAAUGUGGGGUAUUUGAAGGGAUUGGGUGAAGGCAAGGGGAUCACCAAAUCCCCUACCCCCUAGUGGCUGGAAAAAAGCUAGUGUCAAACGAGGCCUUAAUGUGGACGGGGUGUUCUUUAGAGAUGAGAAUGGCAACACAGGUCGCAGCGGUUGCAUUUUUUAGAGAUGGGAAUGGGAAUUAUGUCACUCUAUUAUUGGCUCUUUAUUCUACCUAUGUACAUCUAAACCAGACACCAUGCUUAGUGUUUGCAUGUCUGCCCGUUUCCAAGCAACAACGAAGGAAUCACACCAUAAGGUUGUGAAACAUAUUCUUUGAAAUCUAGAUCACACACCAACGCAUGGAUUAUGGUACCCCAAGGGUUCAAAUCUUCACCUCGUUGGAUAUUCUGACUCGGACUAUGCUGGUGACCGUGUGGAUCGCAAGUCAACAUCAGGCACCUGUCAUUUCCUCAAACGAUCCUUAGUAUGUUGGUCAUCAAAGAAGAAGAACCGUGUGUCACUCUCCACUGCUGAAGCAGACUACAUUGCUGCUGGGUCUUGCAGUGCUCAACUGUUGUGUAUGAAGCAAACUCUCAAGGACUACGACAUCAACAUGAAGAAUGUGCCACUCUACUGCGACAAUGAGAGUGCAAUCACGAUUGCAUACAACCUAGUAUAACACUCGAACACCAAGCACAUCUUGAUUCAUCAUCAUUUUCUUCGUAAUCAUAUACUCAAGGGCAACAUUGUCGUCAACCACGUAAAGACUGAAGGACAGUUAGCGGAUAUCUUCACUAAGCCCUUGGAUGAAAAGAUAUUUUUCAUGUUGCGGUGUGAGCUAAAUAGCUUAGAAUCUUCGAAUGUUCUAUGAAAGGACACACAUCCUAACACUUAUGCAAAAUUGAUGACUUAUAUGUGCAACACACGAAGUAAUGUUUUUAUUCAAUCACUAAAGAAUAACACUUAAGUGUGAAGAAAUUAAUGAAGAAUUUGAUUCUCAGGAUCCUACGACAAUUGUAUGCGGUGCGUGAAAUCAUCAUUCUUAUACGGUGGCUCACGCCAACAACCCAAUUUGAAAUUAUUCAAGUUGAAAUUCUUCAAAAUUGAUAUUUUUGCAAAUUCUUCAAAUCUUCAAAGUCUUCAAAUUUUCAAAUUCCUCAAAUUUGCAAAUUCCUCAAAAGUUCAAAUUCUUCAAACUUUUCAAAAUAUGUUAUUCAUUGACUAUAUACUUAUUGGUGAGCUUAUAAGUCCUCAACAACAUUCCCUUAUAGAUAAGUCUUCAUGCGGUGUUUUUUCUUCUAAGUGAAUAUGAUCGGAGCUCAACCUAGUCUAUUCUCAAAUUCUUCAUAUGCUUUCCAUUUGAAACUCGUUCAAAGUCUUCACUAAAUCUUUGUGAGCUGAAGAAUUUGCAAACAAAGUCCUCAAAAAUUUAUUUAAAAAUUUCUCCAGCCGUUACGUGUGUGCCACCUGUCGAGCGGAGAGGAAGGGCCAGGGUCAUUUUGAUCCAAAAAUUUCGGGCCAAACUAUUUCUCACUUGGGCUACAAAUACCCAACUCUUACCCCCUCAGUCACUUCUUCCUCUCGUUUCCACUUCUCAUCGCUCGAAGCUAGUCCUAGCGUCGCAGGUGGAAAUCAUCGUCGCCUUACUCACGUCGGCUGCAGAUCUCCUUCCUCCUCCGCCACCAUAGUUGUCUUCAGCCGCCGAGUUAGGGCGCUGAAGAUCUGAACCGACGAGCUUCUAUUUUCAGCGUCUACAGUUUUUCGUGUUCUUCAUGUUCUUCAUCCAAGGUAAUUAAUAUCUAAUUUUACUACCACUAUAGAUCUUUAUGUUUUCAUAAAAUCUUUGAAAAAGUGUUACUCCUUAGCAAAUUCAUAAGAUAAACAUUUCUAUGUCUAAGAACACUUGAUAAAUUUCGCUAAGUUACACAAUUCCUCAAGAGAUUCCUCAAUUGUGUGAAUUUUUGGAUCUGCACAACUCUAUAAUCCAAGACAACGACACUCAGCAAAAUUCGUCAAAAACAAUAUUGGCCAAAUUCCUCAACUUGAGUCAUUUUUAAAAAUCUUGUGAGAACGCAUAUGACCUCUUCAAAUUCGCCUAUACUCUGUUCACACGUACAAAAUGGUUGCUAACGAAUCUCUAUGUUCUCAUCAACUUAACUCAUUUGCAACAUUUCUUGAAGAAAAUUUGCAUACCUCAUCACAGUCCUCAAAAGUUCAUAUUCCUCAAAUGAAGAAAAUGGCUCAUGAGAAGAAACAAAAGGGUGGAAAGAAGGCCGAUACCAACACUGCCUUUAAGAUUCUUGAUGACAUCUAUGAUGAAUAUUGCACACGUGACAAAUAAAUCUAUGGAAAAGAGACAAAAGAAAAGCGCAAAACACGCUUGCAGAAAAUUGAGAGAAGAUGAGCCAAAGAAUGGAGGGAGUAUAGGUAUGUGACUCCCAAAUAAAUGAGGAAAUUUGCAUUGAAGCCUCCAUGCAAAAGGCCUCCUCUAGGCGAUUAACAAGUUGCUAAUCCAACAAGUCUUGCAACUAUUCACGACUAUCCUGAAGAAUAUGCAAAGAAACACGCGAGACUGCAGAAAGUUGCACAUCUGGCCGUGAAGAAAUUCAAUGAGGUAUCUGCUGUUGCAGCUGUUGCUGCCUCCUCCUCUGCUGGUGAGGCUUUUGGUACUAAGACUGAUCCAAUGUGAGCUAUUUUAAAGAAGUAUGCUGCCAAACCGAAGUCCUCACCAGCACAAACCUCACAACAAAUUCCUUUGUCAGCCCCUAAAGUGGCAGCAAAGUCCUCAACUGCUUCCACAUAGUCUUCUUCGCCACUGAAGUUGAUGACCAGUCAGAAUCCAAUAGGGACUACAAUUCCCUUAGGGCCAUCUACUUCAGGCUCCGCACAUACUUCUUCUAGUGCUAACAUGAAGAUGAAAAUGACUGUUGGGCGAGGAAAAAGGCCCAACCCUAGCGAAGUCCUCAAUGUUCCUUCUGCAUCAGAAGAAGAAGGUGAAGUACUUGAAGCAAUCAUCAGGAACAAGCAAGAAAAGGUCGCACAGGCCAAAGGCACUACCAUUCCUCUCAUGAUGGAUCCAAAGAUGAUACUAGACUUCAUAGAUAUCUGUUAUAACAAUCCUGAAACACUAAUUGACGACUUGAAGCUUCCACCUGGACCAAGUCACAUGUUGACAACCUUCAUCAAUGAAUAAAAAUGGAAGGCGCAGAAGGCCAAGCAAGCCAGAAAGGCUCAGACUCAGAAAAAGAGCUUUUUGUAGAACAACAUUCUGACUAUGACCCCUGGUCAGCUUCUCACCGCUCAAACUGAGAUCAAGAAGUUGAGUGAAGAAUCAACCGCUUUAAUGCAGACUAGAAGGGCACAAAAGUCAGAUUCGUCAACGUUGCCAUCAAAGUCAUCACUGAACACAAAAAGCAGGUUGCAGCCAAAACGCAACCUCAAAUUUCUGCGAAUUACAUAGUUGAGUUGCGUGACGACUCUGAUGAUGAAAUUCCUCCAACUGACGAACCUGCCAAGGCAGCUGAAGGAGUGGCUGAGCCUGAAGAACCUAUUACUGCCAGGAUAACUGCAACAGUCGUGCCUGAAGAAACUGCUCCUGCUCCAAAAUAUUCACAAGUGAAGAAAGUGAAGCUUCAUGAUGCAUCAGAAGUGAAGAAAACAAGGCUUUUGAACAGGAAGUAGCAAAGAAGAGAAAGGCUUCAACGAGCUGAGAGUCCUCAGAAGCAAAAUGCUUGAUGACUUUUCCAAAUUCCUCAACUGCUCCAAUCGUUGCCACCCCUAUCAGCACAACACCCUCCUAUGUGAUUGUGACAUUUGGUGUCGAGCACAUCAUCCAAGAAGGGCCCCGAAGACACACAUUCUGCUUCUUCCACACCAAUUGAUGAAGAAAUUGAAGUUGAUCCAAAUCCUUCAAUUCCUCAAGCCUCGUCUCCUUAGCCACAGCAGAAUACAGAUGUGUGAGAUGAUGAUGUGGACAUUGGCAGCACCACACCUGUGAUCAAUGAUUACUAUUAGGAAGAGGCUCAUCCCAACUCACCAUUGACCACUCGCAUUCCUCAAGUUCCUCAGUCCUAUGCUGCCACUGGAAUUCUUACAGGGUCUGACGACAAGAACACUCCGAUGAAGACCAUCCCGGAGACGAAAUCAGCUGGAUCAGCUGAACACACUGCAAAUCAAACAUCUACUUGGGAAAGUGCUGCAUCUGAAAUUGAUGAAUCUGCGCAGCAUAUUCCUCAAACUGAGAAGAGUUCCGCUAAAGAACAUGUUCCUCAGAGUGAAGACACUGCCUCUGAACCUCAUGUUGAUAAUCCUCAGUCGACACUAGUCGUAGCUGAAAUUCCUCAAACUGAAGAGCUUCGAAGACUUGUGAGACGAUUCAAGCCAAAUCUUCAACCGAAGAGUCUUCAGCCUUACAUUGGAACAAAAAGGCCAAAUUUAGACAAGGCAAAAUUCUUUGAGGAACAACACUAUUUCAUCGGCGUAAAUCCUUACGACUCUCCAAGGAUAAGGUGCAAAAGAUUCUGGACACACACUCAGAUGAACUACUAUGGCGCUAUACUCUUCAACAAGGACAAGGUUUUUUGGCACGAGCAAAUUCGUCAUGCAGACAUGGAGAAUACUCCUUUCUUUACUCCAGUUCUUCGUGUUCUUCGUGACACUGGAUUACUACCAUUCUGCAUGGACAUCUAUGACUGGAAUGAAGACAUCAUUAUUUAGUUAUACUCUACAUUGAACAUCUCAGGACAUGUCUUAGAUGUCAACACUUGGGUUCUGGACUAGAUGACUCAAAACACUCACUACAAAGCCCCUGCCACGGAAUUACUUCGUGCAGUCCCAGUUCCAAUUUCCUCAGAUGGAGCCAGAUGUGUCUAUGGCGAAAUUGAACUGCCAAAUCAUAUGAUGCAAGUAUCGAUGAAGCCUUUGGCUCCUGGAAGGCAGACAAGAACCACAUUCCUCCUGAAGGAAUUACUUUAUGUGCCCCGGACAGUUUACUGAAUCUUGUCCAAAACCUUCCGUCCAAUCAAGGGUCAUGACGCCAAUGAUGAAGAAAUUGUGGGCAUCAUGAAGAAUUUGCUCUUCAAUAUCAUCCAUGGAAUUCCAAUAAAUAUUCAUGAUUUCUUCAUGAGGACUCUGGCCAACACAUCUUUGUCACCUUUUGAUAUGAAACCGCCCUGGAUAAUGAAAUUCAUCAGGGACAGAUCUACUCUUCCUUACAAGGCAAAUAUUUUGAAUCACCUCACCUACUUGACUCCCCUUGAAAUUGGCAAGAAAUCUUUUGAGAUGAUUGACGGCAAAGGGGAAUCUUCGAUUGAUGAAGGACCUCGGCCCCUUGAUGGCCAAUUUUUCAAGGCUGCGUCAUAUUCCACCAAUGACGACACUGCCUCUUAGGACUCAGUUGCGAGAGGAAAAUCCCCUGGCGAAUGUGCACCACGUGUGCUGACUGACCAUGAGAUCUUGCUAAGUCUUCAUCGGAAAAUUGAUCGCAACCACAAAUGGAUAAAGCGUCAGUUUGGUGCCAUUGUGAAAGACCUCAAUGCAAUUCAGAAUGCUCUAAAGAAAGAUCACUAUUAUUUUCAUGAGAUCUUUGACUGCACAUGGGCCAUUCUGUCUCACCACAAGACUUCUAAGGAACUCACUGUUAUGAAGUUCCAGCAAGACUUCGACUGGUCCUGGCCGCCAAAGAAUAAGUUCAAGAAGACUCCAGUUCCUCAACUGGUGGCCAACUCAUUUUCUUCAACGUGCACCACUAAUGAUCGUGGAGAUCUUGACGACGUUGCUGCGACGAACGACCCCAACGCUCCCCCUCCACCAACAAAGUGAUAUUAUUCAAGGGUGUUAGUCCUCAGUUUCGUCCCUCUUCGUCACUUGAUGACAAAGGGUGAGAAAUCUGAGUUAGUCUUCAAGUAGGUCUACUUUAUUAGUUUAUGGGCUUUUGAACUAUGUUUUCUUUAAGUUAGAACUCUCGUUCUUCUGAAGUGUUUGGUUGUAUGACUUGUAAACUUAUGCUCGGUGGUGGCCUGACACUUUUGAACCAUUUUUCCUCGCAUGCUUAUUCCUCAUAUUGAUUAAUGCACGCAUGCUGAAAUUCGAGAGACUCCACUUUCCAUCAUGCAUUUCAAUUUCCUCAUGAUAUAUGUCAAAUGCCUGCAUGGAUUACUAGAUAUAGGGGGAUAUCUCCAUGGUAUAAAUCUUGAAUGUGCAUUUGUUGUCUAAAGAAAAUUCCUCAAAUAUGCACAUCUUCAGGGGGAGUUUCUCUAUAUCUUGCAUUCAAAUUCCUCAAACUCUGUACUUACACUUCAUAUUAUUAUCCUCGUUGAAAACUUAACAUAUUUGUCAUCAAUCACCAAAAAGGUGGAGGUUGUAAGUGCAUCUAGUGCCCCUUAGUGAUUUUGGUGUAUUGAAGACUUAUAGGUUAAGAGACUGAUAUGUUUGUGAGUGUACACAUGCUCUAUAAGUCACUGAGGAGUUUGAGUUAUUUGAAUAAAACCGACCCCUAAAACUGUAUGUCUUCGGCUAAAGACUUUGAUAUUUCCUCUAAAGACUUUGAAAGUGAGGAAAUUAGUGUGUCCAUGAAGAAAUUGAUGCGAGGACUUUGAAGCGUGAAGACUUUUGCUUUCAUAGUUUUAUUUUUUGUAUUUCGUGUCAUAGGACCACCGUACUGUUAAAGGGGGUCGAGGGAAAACUAAGGAAACGUUUUCAAGUGAUGCUCAUUUCAAAGCCUACACAUACAAACCCUUCGGAUGAAGCCUUUGGAAAUCUUCAACAACUUAGUCAAAUUCUUCAGUGGCGGAGACGAAGAUCUUCUGGUCUCUGAGAAAUUUGCUCUAACUGAGGAGUUAGGUCUUCGCCAAUGCGAAUCACCUACCUGUGAGGAACAUGAGUGACAUGAGGACUUUCAUAGCUGAAAUGUUUCGACCGAGGUUGUGUUGCACGCCAGUUGUCCCCAACCUUAUCCACCUAACAAUCAUAUUAUUGGGGCAUUUACGUUAAUUCAUGUCGGGAUUGCUCCCCGGCUAUAAAUAGCUGCCCCCAUAACCACUAGUUGGUUGGCUGCUCCGCGAGAGAAACUGACACUUGCCAUUUGAGAGCAACCCAUUCCUCGAAGACUUUGAGAGAAAUUCUUCAGUGAGGAAAAAUCCCAAACACCCUAACCAAAACCCAAAGUGAUUGAGCAUCACUGAAAAGAUUGUUCCUGUGUGGAACCGACGAUUGUUACCUUUGAGGACUGUGCAUCCUCCAUACGGUUAGGCCUCAUGGUCUAGAGCAUCCAGCAGUGAAUUGUGGAUCGCCGAGUGACCAAGUUUGUCAGGGUUUGGAAGUCUGCCAUGAAGACUUACCAUGAGUGUUGGGCGAGGACUGUGUGUCCUUAGCUCAAGGACAAUACGGUAAGGACUUAGUGUCCUGGGACUGUGUGUCUUUUGGUUUAAAUACUAAGCCGCUGCAAACCAGACGUACGACUGUCACAGCAGUUGGAACUAGGUCAUCAAACCAUUGUCUUCAUCAAGCACCUAGUUCUAAUUCCUCAACCCUUUCAUUACCUCAAUUUUAUGUUCACGACUUUGAUCUUUACUGUUUGAAGAAUUUGACUGAAGAGUUUCUCAAAUUCCUCACCUCAAAUUCUUCACUUAACUUAUUCUUCACCCGCAUGUCUUGAUCACACUACUUGUGUAAUUCGAACGUUUCACUUCACUGUGAUGACUAUGCUUUCGUUGUUUUGCACAUCUGUUUGAAUACUAAGUCCACUCACUCACCUCGUAACUGGGGACUUUUCUCACAAUGAAUUUACUGAGUGAUGAAUUUAUAAAAAUAACCUAUUCACCCCUCCUCUAGGCGAUAACGCACUUUCAGAGACUCCACCCAUAGGCAUUAUCGGACAUCCGCAACCAGCAUCAACAUGCCUGCUUGCCUAGCUAUCCACCUUGGAGCCGUUUGUACCUAGGUACACUUCGCCCCCCUGUCGACGUCCUCCAUGGCGGACACCACGCGCGACAGAUGUCCAAUCAAAUGCCAUUGAGCUUAUUUUUAAACUCUAUAUCAUUUGUAGAGCAUGAAGGAUGAUGAGCUAAUCGACCAUGGAGGAUGAAUUGUUGCGCGGUACGUGGUUGGUCGUAUCCGUGAAUUUCAUAGGCAUGAGAAAAAGGGAGACCUUCUGACAGCAAGUGUACAAAACUUUAAUGAAUGAAAGCACAUUGCGCCCUCCGACAUGUAUAUCACUCAACUAGAUAACGUGAUGUCGUUGUCGUAUCGCUGGUACGCUAUCCACACCAGCGUCACCAAGUAUUGCAACGUGGUUCGUCACCUAUAGGUAAGGUGACCAUUGCAUGCGACAGAGAACAAGAUCGUAAGUUUUGCUUCUUCUUGCUCAACUUAUUGAUUGNNNNNNNNNNNNNNUACUCUAUACAUUAUAUUUAGCUCGCACGUACUGCCGUGGUGUACCACAUGACAUGAAAACAAUCAUUUACGUGCACGCAUUGUUGGAUGAAUCUCAAAGGUGAGUAUAUGUGGAAUGACAUGACCCGUUGAUGAAAAACCUGUUGGACAUCUGGGAUCUAGUGGAAUUUGAGACAUUGUUGUACUACAUGUAUGAAUGAUUUUUAUUAUUUUCCAUUCGGAUUUUAAUGAAUAUCGACCGUUUUGCAUGAAUUUCAUUUGACUUAUUUAAAUACGGAUUAAAAUGUAUGCAACUAUGGCUGGAUAACAUCCUUCCGCAUUCGUCUUCGCGGACUGAUUUAUGUGUCCGUGAAGAGAUGCAGAUUUUGUUUUACGGGUAGCCAUUGAAGAUGCCGUACCACUCACAUGCUUUUCCCUGUCCAUGACUGGAUACCGAUAAGAGUGACGCGGUCUCUUUUGCCCGUCAUUGGCACAGGUGUGGAUAUAGCCAUUUUUUAGCAGCGAAGCUAGUAAAGCAGAAUCAGAUUUACGCGUGUAACAACUCCAUGGUGGAACUAUAUCGACAGUUUGACUCAAUAGCCACGCCGAUGCAAGAGAUAGUGCAAAUGGGACAUUAUAUUUCUUGAUAUAAAGUUACAAGUUCCAAAGACAUGAGUUUAUGUCCUUUGCUUAUUUCUGUGUGUACUCCACUUGGCAACCAUGCAAUGCACGGCCAGUACAACACUCACCAUAUGCAUGCAAGAAGCGUUUUAUUUCUUGCACACAACACCUUUGCCGUCCAUGCCACUGGCGCAGGUGACACCAGCGAGCUCAGAUAGCACCGCGACAUCGUCGUUUCCACGGCUGACCCCAUAGCGCGCCACGCUGCAGUCUGGGGCGAACAGGCUGGAGGUGGUGAAGGUGGCAUCUCCACCCAUGGUGGGCAUGGAGGCCCUCACGUCGAAAUGGUUGACGUAGUCGGAGCGGUACGUCUGUCCGACCACACCGUGGACGUCGUCGGUGAGCGCGUCGAACUUGAACGCCAGCUCGAGGUGUGCUAGGCAGUCAUCGUCGGUAACGCCGUAGCGGUGCACCCUCGAUUCCUCCUCGGUGAUGGGCACGACGUUGGCCCUGAUGCUGAACUUUCCGUCAACGGCGACCAGCACGCCGUUGGCCGCCUUGGUGCGGGUGACGGACAGCUCAGGUACGCGGCUGGACGUCCACUUGGCGCCAUCGACGAGGUCGGCGGGAAGGUAGAUUGGCUCACCGUCCAAGGUGAUGUCUAGGUGCUCCACGGCGUCGUCCCAGGUGCCGGUCUUCCUGGCGCCGAGGUAGAGGCGGUGGCCGUCGAAGAGGACGGCGAUGGCCUGGAUCCAGGUGAAGUCCCGGGACAUGCCGCUGUGGCCGCUCUUGCCGAUGAAAUGCGCGUUGAUGUGAAGGUCACGGUCGGAGACGAC